rnacentral:lncRNA from 1 species
CAAGAUCCAAAAAACCCUAGGCAAAGGUAUCAAAUAAGGUCAUAUAUGUUGUUUUCAAAGCUGCAGUGCUUUGGAGUUCAAUUUCAAGUGAAGGGAAACUCACCUUGUUACUACAACAGCCGGGGAGGUCUCCCCUAAGAGAAAAAGGGACCUAGGACACUUCUUUUAUCGAUAUUUCUCUUUCACAGAGUGAAGUUGAUCCAUCUUUGAUACCCUUUAAACAAAGCAGUGAUUAAAUGAUGACAAAGAUCUAGCAUUUAAUGGGGGCUAAUUCCCAAGAGCAUCAUUAAAUGGAAAAUAAUUAGAAAGAGUAGUUGUCAAUGGAUUCCUCAGUUUAAUUUUCUUCAAUCAAGAUAGCUGACAUGAAAAAUAAAAGAAAAAUGAGAAAUGCGUGGAAUCUUGUCUCUCUAAAGCAGCCCUCACGGAGAGGCAGAGAAAGAGAACUGGUAUAUACUCAGAGGAGUUCCAAAUGAUAUUAAACAUAGUACUUGGAAUGAACAUCAAUAGCUCUUAAUAUAAAUAUAUAUAUCGCACUCCUGUUUUAAGGUUGAAAGUAAAUUCGUAGGGUCUUAGACUGAGAUUGCAGCCAAAAUAUGAGUGUCAAGUUACCUCUCUUUUGUUCUCUUGUUAGAAAAGGAAGUAAGCACUUGAAUAUUGAUCUUCCAUUUUGCUUCAUGGUUAGUUAUAUUGGGGAGCAGGUUUCAAUUUUCUCCUCUAUCCCAUAGGAAAAUUUUUUAUUUAUUUCGAUUAUUUUACCAAUAUGUUCGUAGACUUUUUAAGUUGUACUAAGAUCACGAAGCAAAAUGGUAUACCUGCCCGAACUAAUUAGCAUAAAACAGCACAGCAGCAAUAAUUACGCCCAAAAAGAGAAGAUAUGUUAGCUAGAUUCACCAGUUAUGAAAUAAGUUUUCCAUUCUACUGCUAAUUACCAUAUCUCAACUGAACUUGUAUAUAUCUAUGAUUCUGUAACGUAUCUUGUAAUGUGUUCGAAAUAACGUCGUGAAUUAGUAAAAAAGAGCAGAAUAAAAAUGUAUAAAUUUAUCCCUGUCUCCCUUCUCUCUGGGAAUUGGUAAUCGAAUAAGCUGGAUCCAAGCUACCAAAGGAUACUUUGGACUUAGUUUCAGGCAUAAAAAAGAGCAGCUUCCCAACUUCCAAGCCUUCACAGGGCACAUAAAGUAAGGCCUCUUUGUAAUUUAUUUAGGGAGUUUAUCUAUUUCCCUUGGAGAUCUUUGGAUUUUCCAGCAGGGGUUUCCAUCACUCUAUGAAAUUCCCAGGUAGUGCCAAAAAAAGGACUAAUGUCUCUAAUUUAUGUCUCUCCCUCUGGUUUUGUAAAUCUGAUGUAGAUCGAUUGAAAUAAACCAACCUCACAUCAGAAACAAGAACUGGCUAUGCCAGUACCUACCUACCUAUAUACAUACAUGUUAUAACGAAAUGAAAAGGCUGUGUGUUUAUGAUAUCCCUUAUAGAAUUAUAACGAAAUGUUCGGCUCCGAAAGAAUUGAGGAGCAAGCAUACAUAUGUCAUGAAAAACCCUAAAUAAACAGCUUAUCAUACAGUAGAAACAAAACCAAUAGAUAUACUGAGAUAUCAAAUUUUAUUGUGGUUUAAAGAUAAUACCAGAGACUGAGAGAAGGCUCAAUCACUAAAGCAGUAGUAAGGGAUCUUGAAAUCAUGGAAACUGCACAGAGACACCCAAAUUUC